rnacentral:rRNA from 1 species
UACGUAGGGGGCGAGCGUUGUCCGGAUUCAUUGGGCGUAAAGAGCUCGUAGGCGGCUUGGCAAGUCGGAUGUGAAAACUCCAGGCUCAACCUGGAGCCGCCAUUCGAUACUGCUAUGGCUAGAGUCCGGUAGGGGAGUGUGGAAUUCCCGGUGUAGCGGUGAAAUGCGCAGAUAUCGGGAGGAACACCGAUGGCGAAGGCGACUACCUGGCCUGUUCUUGACGCUGAGGCGCGAAAGCUAGGGGAGCAAACGGG